CCUGCGGGUGCUUACCAUGCAAGUCGAACGGAGAUUCAGCAAUGGAUCUUAGUGGCGAACGGGUGAGUAACGCGUAGGCAAUCUGCCUUCUAGAUGGGGACAACAUCCCGAAAGGGGUGCUAAUACCGAAUGUUGUAAUUGGUUCGCAUGGACUAGCUACUAAAGGUGGCCUCUGAAUAUGCUACCGCUAGAAGAUGAGCCUGCGUCUGAUUAGCUAGUUGGAGGGGUAACGGCCCACCAAGGCUUCGAUCAGUAGCCGGUCUGAGAGGAUGAACGGCCACACUGGGACUGAGACACGGCCCAGACUCCUACGGGAGGCAGCAGUGGGGAAUCUUCCGCAAUGGACGAAAGUCUGACGGAGCAACGCCGCGUGAGUGAAGAAGGUUUUCGGAUCGUAAAGCUCUUUCGUUAGGGACGAACGUGCUCUUUGUGAAUAAUGAGGAGUAAUGACGGUACCUAAAUAAGAAGCCACGGCUAACUACGUGCCAGCAGCCGCGGUAAUACGUAGGUGGCAAGCGUUGUCCGGAAUUAUUGGGCGUAAAGCGCGCGCAGGCGGGAUAUCAAGUCUGUCUUAAAAGUGCGAGGCUCAACCUCGUGAGGGGACGGAAACUGGUAUUCUUGAGUGUCGGAGAGGAAAGUGGAAUUCCAAGUGUAGCGGUGAAAUGCGUAGAGAUUUGGAAGAACACCAGUGGCGAAGGCGACUUUCUGGACGAUGUCUGACGCUGAGGCGCGAAAGCUAGGGGAGCGAACGGGAUUAGAUACCCCGGUAGUCCUAGCCGUAAACGAUGGGUACUAGGUGUAGGGGGUAUCGACCCCUCCU
rnacentral:rRNA from 1 species